CAGGUCAGAGGUUAUGUGCAGUCAGAAAACCCAGAUUGUAGCUGGAAGCCAUGAGAAGACAUGGGGGAGCCUGUUCAUAGGAGAAAACCCAACUUCUAUAAAAAAAGCGACAUUGCUUCAGGACUAAAUUUUUUGCUCUGUCUUGAUAGAAGAGGAAGAGCACAUUAAGGAAAUCUCCUCCUCUGCUGGAGUGCUGAUCUGCCCUUUCAUCCAGGAAUUAUUGAAGAUGUGCUACAAAAUUGUGUAAGAACUCAAGCAAGUGUUACUGCCUCCCAGCAGAAAUGUAUACAUGC